ACUCAAAUGAAUUGACGGGGGCCCGCACAAGCGGUGGAUUAUGUGGUUUAAUUCGACGCAACGCGAAGAACCUUACCAAGGCUUGACAUCCUACGAAUCCUGAGGAAACUUAGGAGUGCCCUUCGGGGAGCGUAGAGACAGGUGGUGCAUGGUUGUCGUCAGCUCGUGUCGUGAGAUGUUGGGUUAAGUCCCGCAACGAGCGCAACCCCUAUGUUUAGUUGCUAACGAGUAGUGUCGAGCACUCUAGACAGACUGCCGGUGAUAAACCGGAGGAAGGUGGGGAUGACGUCAAAUCAUCAUGCCCCUUAUGUCUUGGGCUACACACGUAAUACAAUGGCCGGUACAGACGGACGCAAAGCCGUGAGGUGGAGCAAAUCCGAGAAAGCCGGUCUCAGUUCGGAUUGUUCUCUGCAACUCGAGAACAUGAAGUCGGAAUCGCUAGUAAUCGCAGGUCAGCAUACUGCGGUGAAUACGUUCCCGGGCCUUGUACACACCGCCCGU
rnacentral:rRNA from 1 species